CAAGCGGUGGAGCAUGUGGUUUAAUUCGACGCAACGCGAAGAACCUUACCUGGGCUCGAAAUGCUAUGGACCAGCUUAUGAAAGUAGGCCUUCCCGCAAGGGACCGUAGUAUAGGUGCUGCAUGGCUGUCGUCAGCUCGUGUCGUGAGAUGUUGGGUUAAGUCCCGCAACGAGCGCAACCCUUGUCCUGUGUUGCCAUACUGAAAAGUGGAACUCGCAGGAGACCGCCAGGGAUAACCUGGAGGAAGGUGGGGAUGACGUCAAGUCCUCAUGGCCUUUAUGUCCAGGGCUACACACGUGCUACAAUGGACGGUACAAAGGGCUGCCAACCCGCGAGGGGGAGCCAAUCCCAAAAAACCGUUCUCAGUUCGGAUUGCAGGCUGCAACUCGCCUGCAUGAAGCUGGAAUCGCUAGUAAUGGCAGAUCAGAACGCUGCCGUGAAUACGUUCCCGGGCCUUGUACACACC
rnacentral:rRNA from 1 species